rnacentral:rRNA from 1 species
AGUGAACGCUGGCGGUAGGCCUAACACAUGCAAGUCGAACGGAAGCACAGUAAGAGCUUGCUCUUACGGGUGGCGAGUGGCGGACGGGUGAGGCAUACAUCGGAAUCUACUUUUUCGUGGGGGAUAACGUAGGGAAACUUACGCUAAUACCGCAUACGACCUACGGGUGAAAGCAGGGGUUCUUCGGACCUUGCGCGAUUGAAUGAGCUGAUGUCGGAUUAGCUAGUUGGCGGGGUAAAGGCCCACCAAGGCGACGAUCCGUAGCUGAUCUGAGAGGAUGAUCAGCCACACUGGAACUGAGACACGGUCCAGACUCCUACGGGAGGCAGCAGUGGGGAAUAUUGGACAAUGGGCGAAAGCCUGAUCCAGCCAUACCGCGUGGGUGAAGAAGGCCUUCGGGUUGUAAAGCCCUUUUGUUAGGAAAGAAAAGCAGCGGAUUUAAACCCCGCCGUUCUGACGGUACCCAAAGAGUAAGCACCGGCUAACUUCGUG